UGCCAGACUCCUACGGGAGGCAGCAGUAAGGGAUAUUGGUCAAUGGGGGAAACCCUGAACCAGCAACGCCGCGUGAGGGAAGACGGUUUUCGGAUUGUAAACCUCUGUCCUCUGUGAAGAUGAUGACGGUAGCAGAGGAGGAAGCUCCGGCUAACUACGUGCCAGCAGCCGCGGUAAUACGUAGGUGGCAAGCGUUGUCCGGAUUUACUGGGUGUAAAGGGCGUGUAGCCGGGAAGGCAAGUCAGAUGUGAAAUCCGGAGGCUCAACCUCCGAAUUGCAUUUGAAACUGUUUUUCUUGAGUACUGGAGAGGCAGACGGAAUUCCUUGUGUAGCGGUGAAAUGCGUAGAUAUAAGGAGGAACACCAUUGGCGAAGGCGGUCUGCUGGACAGCAACUGACGGUGAGGCGCGAAAGCGUGGGGAGCAAACAGGAUUAGAUACCCGAGUAA
rnacentral:rRNA from 1 species